rnacentral:rRNA from 1 species
GAUGAACGCUGGCGGCGUGCCUAAUACAUGCAAGUAGAACGCUGAAGCUUGGUUCUUGCACCGAGCGGAUGACUUGCGAACGGGUGAGUACCGCGUAGGUACCCUGCCUGGUAGCGGGGGAUACCUAUUGGAGACGAUAGCUCAUACCGCAUGACAACAGUUAUUGCAUGAUAACUGUUUAAACGGGGCAAUUGCUCCACUACCAGAUGGACCUGCGUUGUAUUAGCUAGUUGGGGAGGUAACGGCUCACCAAGGCGACGAUACAUAGCCGACCUGAGAGGGAGAUCGGGCACACUGGGACUGAGAAACGGCCCAGACUCCUACGGGAGGCAGCAGGAGGGAAUCUUCGGAAAUGGGCGGAAGGCUGGCCGAGCAACGCCGCGGGAGGGAAGAAGGGUUUCGGAUCGGAAAGGUCUGUUGUAAGAGAAGAACGGGUGUGAGGGUGGAAAGUUCAUACUGUGACGGUAUCUUACCAGAAAGGGACGGCUAACUACGUG